AGGAGUGCAUGUAAUUUUUUAACAGUUCUAUUCUAAUGAUCAGCCCUCACGCAUGCUCCUAGGGUCAUGAAAAGUAGGCGGCCCAUCGGCUCGUCUUUGUUUGUUGUGUUAAGAACAGGCAACAGGCAACAGGCGGUACCCACAACAUCCCGUAUUAAUAGGGUCUUGAAAAGAGCAGCACCUCAAAAGGUACGAUGUAGAAUAUAUUUUUUUCGUUUUAUAUUAGUUGGUCUUAUUGACUUAGCACACUCUUUAAAAAAAUAUUAAUUAGAGGUUUAUUUUAUUAAAUUAAUUUUAUUAAUUGUAUUUUGAAAAUAUAAAUUUGAGUAAAUACAUUUUAUUUAAUUAUUUAAUAUUAGGAUAGUAUUGAAAAAAACAUAACAAAAUAUUUUUAAAAAGAAGACCAACUAACAUGAAACAAGAAAAUAGAUUGUUUUUAUGGCUGAAACACGUGACCAUAAGUUGCACGAAAACCACACCAGCACAACGUUACCAUUGCUUCAAUCGUCCCUCCAAAUGCACGUUCAGACAAGUGAAAUGCAAUCAAUGGAAGCUUUGACCACAGAUUGUGCGUGGUAAGAUGCACCACCAGAAGUGCAACUUAGGGCCUUAAUCAACGACCACAAUAUCCCUUUCCCUUUGCCAUAUUUAUAAUCACUAAUUCCAGCUCCAACUUUGGAAGAGGGAGCUGAAGAAGCAACUUUACGAUUUUGUCGAUUUUUGAGGUCCUUCAAUUCCAUCUCAUGAGUUGGACAAUAUCUCAACCACUUUCUACUUGAGGACGAAAACGAUCGUUUCUCCGGCCUCUUUGGCAACGUGGAAUUUCCACAAGGAAUAAGUUUCCCACAGAAGAGGAUGUUUUCUGGAAGAACUGCAUUAUUCUUAUUACUAAUGAACUCAAACACGUCUUCAUCUGACGAUAAGCUACUUGAACAAGUAGUGCUCUUACAGUCAUAAUACUUAUUCUCCCAUUCUUCCGAAUCAUUAUCAUCAUUAGUGANNNN
rnacentral:lncRNA from 1 species